rnacentral:rRNA from 1 species
UACGUAGGCGGGAAAUUAAGUCAGUAGUGAAAUCCCACAGCUUAACUGUGGAACUGUUAUUGAUACUGGUUUUCUUGAAUAUAGUUGAGGUAGGCGGAAUGUGUAAUGUAGCGGUGAAAUGCUUAGAUAUUACACAGAACACCGAUUGCGAAGGCGGCUUACUAAGCUAUGAUUGACGCUGAGGUACGAAAGCGUGGGGAGCGAACAGGAUUAGAUACCCUGGUAGUCC